GCAUUGCUUGAGUUCAGCUAUCCGAAACACACCGAUUGAUAAACCAUCACAUAGGCUCUCGUUCAUUCACAGCUUCAGAGUCGCAGAGGUGUCCAGCUCCAUCAGGUACAUUGUUCACUGUUAAACUCAUCCAACAUCAGAUGGCAGCAAAACCCGAGACAGACUGGAACAGUGGUCUCUGUGACUGCUUUGAGGACGCGAGCACUUGUUGCUAUGGUUUCUGGUGCUGCCCUUGUCUUUCCUGCACAGUUUCAGGACGUUUUGGAGAGAACCGUUGUCUCCCAUUAUGUGACGUGCUCACCCCCGCUAUCACAGCCGCCUGCGGGAUACCCCUCGUUGUGCCUCCUGCAGUCCUGUCUUUGAGGGUUGCCAUUCGUCACAGAUAUCAUAUCAAGGGUUCUCUCUGUAAUGACAUUGCAGUGUCCUGUUUCUGUCUGUGGUGCUCCUGGUGUCAGAUGCAUCGUGAGUUAAAACAUCAAAAAAAAGAACCCAAUGUCAUCAUCGUGCAAAAUCAACCUGUUGUACAAAUGCAGCCUGCAGUGAUGAUGGUUCCCCAAGCUGUAUAUGUGACCCAACCAGGAGUCACCGUGAUUUCACGCUGAGCUCUGUGGAUUCUCAUUGGGUCUUCUGAAGGAAAUUCAAUUCAUGCUGCUGUUUUUGCAUGUUUAUCAUUGAAAAAACAAAGUGCAAUCACUUGAAAUUAACUAAAUGUAAUCACUUUAAAUCCAUCUCUUAUGCUGAUUGAGUUUCUGUUUCUAAUUUAUAAUGACAGUUAUUGUUUCAAUUUUCUUGGGAAGAUCAUAUCUUUAAAAUCUUUAUUUCACCAUGAUUAAUCGUAGGAAGUGAGUGUGGUCUGUAAUUAAAAGAAUAAAUAAAGUUGUCUAUAAUGAUAACCAUACUGUUCCCUUAUUGAAACCCUGUGGUGAAAAGUGAGAGCUGGAUGUGAGAUAGCCGUCCACCGACUGCUGACAGGGUGAGUAAAAUGAUCGAAGUAAAUCGAACCAGAGAGAUGAAGCUGGGAGUGUUGUCGCAGAACAAAGAGACAGCAAAUCCGGAGAUUAGUGUGGGGGAAGUUAUUGUCAAGAAAGAAACCGUCACACUAUUGUAGAAGUAAAUUCCUUCACAGAUUAUCUAUCAUAAGAUAAACAUUCCUCAAAUUCUCUGGAUUAGGAAAUUAUCUAUUACAAGGAACUCGAAGGAGUGACGUUGUAUUAAAAUGUCACUGGUUGCUUGUUCAACCAGGAAACACCAAGCAGAUGAAACCAGGGUUUUUAAAGAAAUGUGCAGUUAACUUUGUCUUUUGGCUAUCUCUUUUAAAAUCAUAGAACAUGUCAUUAAACAAAGGGAACACUUUUAAACAUAUUAGAGAGAGAGAGAGAGAGAGAGAGAGAGAGAGAGAGAGAGAGAGAGAGAGAGAGGAGAGAGAGAGAGAAAUAGCCUGCUGGGUGAAGCACACAGAAAACCAAACAAAAGCACCGCACUCCAAUAAUAGCUCUAGUCAUUUUGAUGACGUAGGUUUCAGAAACUGAUGUAUGUAAUAUGAUGCACGUGGGAAGGUGCAGAGGAGAUAUCCAGCUACAUCAGAGGUUCAUUGUUCACCGUCUUUGGCGAAAGUUACCCAACAACAAUGGCAGGAGAACCAGAGAAAGUCUGGAGCAGCGCUCUCCUCGACUGCUUUGAGGACAUCAAUACGUGUUGCUAUGGUUUCUGGUGCGGCCCUUGUCUUGCCUGCACCGUUUCAGGACGGUUCGGAGAGAAUUAUUGUUUCCCAUUAUGUGACAUAGUAUCCCUGUGCACAUCAGUAAUGAUCGGAAUGCCCAUCUGUGUUCCUCCUGCAGCCCUGUCUACUAGGGCUGCCAUGCGAAACAGAUACCAUAUCAGGGGUUCUCUCUGCGACGACGUUGCAGUGUCCUGUUUCUGUCAGUGGUGCUCCUGGUGUCAGAUGCACCGUGAGUUAAAAUAUCGCAAUAUCGUUCCUGUUGUCAUCAAUAUGCAGCAUCAAACCGUGGUGCAAAUACAGAAUCAAAACAUACCACAAAUGCAGAAUCAAUACAUACCACAAAUACAGAAUCAAUACAUACCACAAAUACAGAAUCAAAACAUGCCACAAAUGCAGAAUCAAUACAUACCACGAAUGCAGAAUCAAAACCUGCCACAAAUGCAGCCUGUCUUUGUGACGACGGCUCAACCACAGCCAGUUGGUUCUGUGAGCCCACCAGCAUACGAGAAGUCACCCUGAUUCUCUGGCAUCUCAUUGGUCGGUUGUGUCUUGGGAAAAAAAUAUUAUUCUGCUCAGAUCGUACGGCUGUUUAUUUUAGUAUGUUUUUAUCAGUGAAACACAAAGAUUGAAGCUCAUUUGUAUUCUGUUCCCAUAGUAUGAAGAACACAUUUCAGUUUCCUAAUAAUAGUUUAAAACAUCUUCAAGCCCAUGAGGCUUCAUUCACACAUCACUUAUAGUCAUAUAACAAUGUUAACCAUUAGUUUCAAAUUAUUUGUAUUAUUGUUAAUCCUUAUUUCUGGAUGUAUCCUAAACCGCUAUUUGUUUCUGAGAGGUUUGUUCCAAGUCAAUGAGAGGCAGAAAUGAAGCAGACACACCGGUUUAUCCACUCGGUUGACUGCUUCGGCACAUUUCUUCUGAAAGCAAAACUAGUUCACUCCUCUCACUUUCACUUCUCUUCUCAAGAAGUCUAUUGUUUUAAAGAAUGUGAAACUUUUCCAUUUCUAAUUUACUUAGAGGAUAUUACAUUUAAACUUUAGAUGUUAUUGCUUUUGUUGUUGACUCAUUGUGAGACUUGUAGAAUGAAGGGAUUAUUUCAGAUGUAAUUAAGCUUUUUUUAAUGUUAGUUUAUAAUUUACGUUACUUGUUUAUAGCUUUAGCAUGUUUUGAUCUGUUAAAUUAAUGGUUGGUUAUUUGUGUUUGUUUGUGAAUAAACCACUAUAAUAAAACAGAUUUUCAGUU